rnacentral:SRP_RNA from 1 species
UUGACUUGUUUCAUAUCAAGCAAGAAUA